GAUGUACUCCUUCUGUCCGAAAAUACUUGUCAUCAAAAUGGAUGAAAAUGGAUAUAUCUAGAACUAAAAUACAUCUAAAUACAUCAAUUUCAAUGAUAAGUAUUUCCUGACGGAGGGAGUACACA
rnacentral:pre_miRNA from 1 species